UACGUAGGGUCCGAGCGUUGUCCGGAGUUACUGGGCGUAAAGCGCGCGCAGGCGGCGGUGUUGGCCCGGCGUGAAAGCCCCCGGCUCAACCGGGGAGAGUCGUCGGGGACCGCACCGCUUGAGGGCGGUAGGGGCUGGUGGAAUGCCUGGUGUAGUGGUGAAAUGCGUAGAGAUCAGGCAGAACACCUGGGGCGAAGGCGGCCAGCUGGGCCGUCCCUGACGCUGAGGCGCGAAGGCGUGGGGAGCGAACGGGG
rnacentral:rRNA from 1 species